rnacentral:rRNA from 1 species
AUGGCCAUGGUCCUGGAUGCCUUUGCAUCCUAUGUACAGAGCAUGCUGACGGAGAUGGCCAGCGAAGAGGUGCACAUGCUGCUUGGAGUCGGAGACGAGAUUGACAAGAUGGAUCUCAAGCUCAGGGACCUCAACAACUUUCUCACCGACGCUGAUAGGAGAAACAUCACCGACAAGAGCGUGCAAGAGUGGGUGGCCCAGCUCAAGCGUGCCAUGUACGAAGCCACCGAUGUCCUAGACCUGUGCAAGCUCAAGGCCAUGGAGCAUGAUCCGUCCACUAAAGAUGUGGGGUGCUUCAACCCCUUGCUCUUCUGCAUGCGGAAUCCCUCCCAUGCCCACGACAUCGGUACUCGCAUCAAGGCGCUCAAUAAGAGGCUCGACACCAUCAAGGAGCGAAGCGCUGCUUUCAGCUUCAUUAAUCUUGGUUCCUAUGAGGAUCGUGGCAACAAGGUCCAUGGAUCUCAUUCUGGCGAUACCAGACGUGAGACUUCAGGGGAGUUUGACCGGUCAGGUGUAGUCGGAGAGAAGAUCGAACAAGACACAAGAAAGCUGGUUGAGAUCAUGCUGAGUGAAAAGGAGGGCAACACCAACAUCAUGGUGGUCGCCAUUGUUGGUGUCGGUGGAAUCGGCAAGACCACUCUUGCCCAGAAGGUCUUUAACGAUGAAGCCUUGAAUGCUGAGUUCGAGAAGAUGAUAUGGCUGAGCAUCAAUAAGGACUUUGACAAGGUUGAGUUGCUCAGGACAAUCAUCACGCAAGCCGGGGGAGUACAUGGUGGUGAAAAGGCAUUGGCUGUGCUUCAGCCAAUCCUUGCCGCUACCUUGAAAGGGAAGAAGCUAUUUCUGGUGCUAGAUGAUGUGUGGAACCAUGGAGCAUGGGAUGAUGUGCUUAAAACACCCUUGACUAAUGCUUUGGCUCGAGGUAGCCGAGUCCUUGUCACUACUAGAGGUGAAAUAGUAGCUCAGAGGAUGAAAGCUAUGCCUCCCUACCACCAUGUGGACAAAUUAGACUUGGAGGAUGCCUGGUCAUUGCUCAAGAAACAGAUAAUCUCAAGUGAGACUGAUGGACGUGACAUUGAUAUGCUCAAGGACAUUGGGUUGCAAAUUAUAGCAAAAUGUGAUGGUUUGCCUCUUGCAGUAAAAGUAAUGGGAGGUCUAUUGUGUCAGAAGGGCAAAAGACACCGUGAGUGGGAGAUGGUUCUGGAUGAUUCUGUAUGGUCGAUAUCUGGAAUGCCUGAAGAGCUAAACCAUGCAUUAUAUUUAAGCUAUGAAGAUUUACCUUCUUGUGCCAAACAAUGCUUUCUGCAUUUCUCCCUUCUCCCUAAAACUGCAGUGUUUUUUAGCAAUGAAAUCAUUGGCAUGUGGAUAAGUGAAGGAUUUCUUCACGGGACCUCAGAUGACUUAGAAGAGCUCGGAAGAAAUUGCUAUAAGGAGCUGAUGCUGAGGAAUCUUUUAGAGCCAAAUACAAAGUAUGUUGGUGAAGAUGUGUGCAACAUGCAUGAUGUUGUAUGCUCAUUUGCUCAAUUUGUGGCUAGAAAUGAGGCACUAGCAGUUCAGAGUGGAGAAAUUAAUAUUGUUAGUAAACUUACUGCACAUGAGUUUCUCCGGUUAUCGGUAGAAAGCAAAACAUCAGAAUCAGAUGGGUUGGAGUGGAGUUCUUUGCAAGCACAAAAGACAUUAAGGGCACUAAUAUCAGUUGGCUAUAUAAAUAUCAAGCCUGGUGAUUCUUUGGUUCAUUUUCCAUUUCUACGAACUUUACAUAUAGAUUAUGCACAUGUUGUAGCAUUGCUUGAAUCCUUGCAUGAACUCAAGCACCUGAGGUACUUGUCCUUAGGAAACACUGAUAUAUCAAGUCUACCUGAUAGCAUUGGAAAGAUGAAAUUCUUGCAGUACAUUAGCCUUACAGGAUGUGAGCAAUUUGUUAAAGUUCCCCGUAGCUUUGUAAAGUUAGCGCAGCUAAGGUACCUUAACUUCAGUGGAACAAGCAUAGAAGGCAUACCUAGGGGGUUCCAUGCUCUAACGAACUUGAGGGUAUUACAUGGUUUUCCAGCCCAGGUGGAUGGUGAUUGGUGUAGUUUGGAAGAGUUGGGUCCACUUUCUCGGCUCAACAGUCUUGGAUUGGACGGAUUAGAGAAUAUAACUGCUUCCUCAUAUGCAGCAAAGGCAAAGCUUAUCAACAAGGUGCAUCUUACUAUUCUAUUCUUAAAUUGUGGUAGUAUAUUGGGAGAUGAUGGGCUGAUUAAAGAGGAAGAUUGCGUGUCUGAGGAAGCGCAACAACAAAUCGAGAAGUUGUUUGAUGAGCUCUGCCCUCCGUCCAGGUUAGAAACUCUUUACAUCAGAGGAUAUUUUGGCCAACGGCUCCCAAGGUGGAUGAUUUCAUCACUAGAUGUGCCCCUCAAGAACUUAAGGAUUCUGUUCAUUGCCGACCUAGCAUACUGCACACAGCUUCCUAUUGGUUUGUGUCAACUCCCUUAUUUGGAGCUCAUUCAGAUCAAUCGUGCUCCAGCCAUCAAGCUUGUUGGACCUGAUUUCCUGCAGUCCUACCAUCACCACAGUCCUCGUCCUUCCCAAAUGCUGCCUGCAUUUCCAAGAUUGCAUGAGAUGAAUUUAGGAGGAAUGGUGGAGUGGGAGGAGUGGCAGUGGGAGGAGCAAGUGCCAGCCUUUCCUGUCUUGCAGGUACUUAGGCUAUAUCGGUGCAAAUUGAGGUGUCUUCCUCCUGGUCUUACCUCCCAAGCAAGGGCUUUGUAUUCCUUAUCGAUAAGAUAUGUCCAAGGUCUUACCUAUCUAGAGAACUUUCCAUCUCUGGUCGAGCUGAAACUGGAUGAAAACCUUGACCUGGAGAGGUUCACUAAUCUUCCCAGACUGCAGAAGCUUAGCAUCGAAGACUGCCCAAAGCUGAAGGUGCUGGAGGGUGUUCCUGCACUCCAGAGGCUCAUACUCGCGGAUAAGGACAUGGAGUCACUCCCAGAAUACAUGGGAGGUAUAAACCCAAGGCAUUUGGAGCUAUACUGCAGCCUAGCACUGCUCGCUUCCAUAGCCGCGGGAGAAUCUGGCCCUGAGUGGGACAAGUUCAGCCAUGUUGAGCAUGUCAAGGCAUAUGCACGCGAAGGAGAUAAUUCAAGGAAAUGGUAUGUCUUGUACACAGCUAACCCCUACAAGUUGGAGACAAAUGUCAGCCUCUCUUUCAUGUUGAGAGGAACCUUGACCUUUUUUGAGGACACACAAAGAUUCGAGUCUCUCUUCAAAAUGACGAAGAAAACCUUUAGCUACAUCUGCAGUUUGGUGAUGGGGCCAUCAAUGGAAGAUAUGAAUAGCUACACCUUUGUUGACGGUAGGGUGCUGUCUUUAGAAGAUCGGGUAGCCGUUGCUCUUAGAAGGUUGCAGUCCAGUGAGCUAACAGAGAGCAUAGGAUCCUCUGUUGGUGUGAACGAGUCAAUCAUCUUGUUGGUAACUGAGAGGUUCGUUGCUGCAAUGUGCGAGAGGGCAGUCCACCACACAAGCUGGCCAGACUGCAGUGAAAAGGAUGAAAUCAAAUCCAAGUUUGACAAGAUCCACAAUAUGCAUAACUGCUGCGGUGUUAUAUGUACAACGCACAUCCCAUUUGGACCACACUGGGACCAUGAGAAGAAUUUUGGUACACUGAUGCAAGUUGUCGUUGAUUCAGAGAUGAGGUUUAGAAAUAUUUGGCUCAGAUCAGGUAUGAACCAGUCGAGCGUUUUGCAGGACUCUCGAAUCUUCAAGGAGUGCGAGAAGGGAGGUUGGCUGAAUGGCAGCAAGCUGAAGGUAGCAUUAGAUGGAUCAGAAGUCGGGGAAUACAUAAUUGGUGAUGCAGGAUAUCCUCUUCUCCCAUGGUUACUCACACCUUACCAGGAAGAAGAUCUCUCAGAUUCCAAGGCAGAGUUCAAUAGGAGACAUUCUGCGGCCACAAACUGUGCUCUGAAGGCGCUGGCAAGGCUCAAAGAUAUAUGGAAGUGUCUGCAGGGAGAGGCGUGGUGGCCGGCCAACCUGAAAACUCUAGGUAAAAUGAUAGAUGCCUGCUGCACGUUGCAUAACAUAGUCAUAGAAAUGGAGGAUGAUGCAGCAAUGCUGAGCCCCAAGGGGAGGAAUUACUCCAAGGAAGUGCGCCAGUUAGCAAACGAGGACGCUGUCUGGGCGAGGAAUAUCCUGUCGCAACACUUCUUGCCCAGCAGGUCUUCCAAAUCGAGAGAGCAGGAUGAUGAAGCAGCUUCAUCAGGCUCAAGGGGUGAAAACAAGAAACAAGAAGUGCAGACAAGAACAGAGGAUGAAGAGAUCAUAAACUAG